CGUACGCCGGGCCGCGCAGCCCCGCGGCGAGCCGCUCCUGCGUGGCCGCGAGCGGCAGCGUGCGGUCGGCCGCGCCGUUCGGCACGUCGGCGUGCAC
rnacentral:tRNA from 1 species